rnacentral:rRNA from 1 species
GAUGAACGCUGGCGGCGUGCUUAACACAUGCAAGUCGAACGGGAUCCAUCAAGCUUGCUUGGUGGUGAGAGUGGCGAACGGGUGAGUAAUGCGUGACCGACCUGCCCCAUACACCGGAAUAGCUCCUGGAAACGGGUGGUAAUGCCGGAUGCUCCAGUUGAUCGCAUGGUCUUCUGGGAAAGCUUUCGCGGUAUGGGAUGGGGUCGCGUCCUAUCAGCUUGACGGCGGGGUAACGGCCCACCGUGGCUUCGACGGGUAGCCGGCCUGAGAGGGCGACCGGCCACAUUGGGACUGAGAUACGGCCCAGACUCCUACGGGAGGCAGCAGUGGGGAAUAUUGCACAAUGGGCGCAAGCCUGAUGCAGCGACGCCGCGUGAGGGAUGGAGGCCUUCGGGUUGUAAACCUCUUUUAUCGGGGAGCAAGCGAGAGUGAGUUUACCCGUGAAUAAGCACCGGCA